rnacentral:rRNA from 1 species
UAGUUCCUACGGGACGCAGCAGUAGGGAAUUUUCGUCAAUGGGCGCAAGCCUGAACGAGCAAUGCCGCGUGAACGAGGAAGGUCUUCGGAUCGUAAAGUUCUGUUGAAGGGGAAAAAGAGCGGAGAGAGGAAAUGAACUCCGAUUGAUAUUACCCUUCGAGGAAGUCACGGCUAACUACGUGCCAGCAGCAGCGGUAAUACGUAGGUGGCGAGCGUUAUCCGGAAUGAUUGGGCGUAAAGGGUGCGUAGGCGGCCUGCUAAGUCUGGAGUGAAAGGUACCGGCUCAACCGGUACAGGCUCUGGAA